CAUGCAAGUCGAACGAGAGAGAGGGAGCUUGCUUCCUCAAUCGAGUGGCGAACGGGUGAGUAACGCGUGAGGAACCUGCCUCAAAGAGGGGGACAACAGUUGGAAACGACUGCUAAUACCGCAUAAGCCCACGGGUCGGCAUCGACCAGGGGGAAAAGGAGCAAUCCGCUUUGAGAUGGCCUCGCGUCCGAUUAGCUAGUUGGUGAGGUAAUGGCCCACCAAGGCAACGAUCGGUAGCCGGACUGAGAGGUUGAACGGCCACAUUGGGACUGAGACACGGCCCAGACUCCUACGGGAGGCAGCAGUGGGGAAUAUUGCACAAUGGGGGAAACCCUGAUGCAGCGACGCCGCGUGGAGGAAGAAGGUCUUCGGACUGUAAACUCCUGUUGUUGAGGAAGAUAAUGACGGUACUCAACAAGGAAGUGACGGCUAACUACGUGCCAGCAGCCGCGGUAAAACGUAGGUCACAAGCGUUGUCCGGAAUUACUGGGUGUAAAGGGAGCGCAGGCGGGAAGACAAGUUGGAAGUGAAAUCUAUGGGCUCAACCCAUAAACUGCUUUCAAAACUGUUUUUCUUGAGUAGUGCAGAGGUAGGCGGAAUUCCCGGUGUAGCGGUGGAAUGCGUAGAUAUCGGGAGGAACACCAGUGGCGAAGGCGGCCUACUGGGCACCAACUGACGCUGAGGCUCGAAAGUGUGGGUAGCAAACAGGAUUAGAUACCCUGGUAGUCCACACUGUAAACGAUGAUUACUAGGUGUUGGAGGAUUGACCCCUUCAGUGCCGCAGUUAACACAAUAAGUAAUCCACCUGGGGAGUACGACCGCAAGG
rnacentral:rRNA from 1 species